rnacentral:misc_RNA from 1 species
UUGAAUUAUCUACCGGAUAUAUCAAUUUUCUUUCCCUUUCUGUGGGUUUCAGCGAGAUUAGGUUUCGGUGUCAUGGCGACCGCCUCAAAACUCCUGGUUUUUUCUCUCUUUUUUGCCCUGGUUUUCUCCGCCGUUAGGCCGGAUGUUUCAAUUGAAGCCGAUGCUCAAGUACUUGGAUCAGACGCCGGUGAUUCCUCCUAUUUGAAGAUAGAACUUGACCAACUCAAGUCUAAGAUCCAUGAUCUUGAAUCCCGCAUUGAUGAGAAAACUCAAGAAUUGAAGGGCAAAGAUGACUUAAUUGCGCAGAAGGAGAGAAUCAUUCAAGAAAAGUCAGAUAGUAUUGUGUCCUUGAAGAAUGAAAUAUCUUCCCUUCAGAAAAGGGAGAAAUUAGACACUGCAGAGCAGGUGGGAAAGGCUCAUGCGCGGGCAAGUGAACUGGAGAAGCAGGUCGACAAACUUAAAAAGGAAUUGGAAACACA